rnacentral:rRNA from 1 species
AUAUUGGUCAAUGGGCGCGAGCCUGAACCAGCCAUCCCGCGUGCAGGAUGACGGCCCUAUGGGUUGUAAACUGCUUUUCUACGCCAAGAAAUGACCGUUCGUGAACGGUUUUGCCGGUAGCGUAGGAAUAAGCAUCGGCUAACUCCGUGCCAGCAGCCGCGGUAAUACGGAGGAUGCAAGCGUUAUCCGGAUUUAUUGGGUUUAAAGGGUGCGCAGGCGGGCUUGUAAGUCAGCGGUGAAAACCUGUCGCUUAACGACAGGCUUGCCAUUGAUACUGCUUGUCUUGAGUUUGGUUGAGGUAUGCGGAAUGUGCAGUGUAGCGGUGAAAUGCAUAGAUAUUGCACAGAACACCAAUUGCGAAGGCAGCAUACUAAGCCAAAACUGACGCUGAGGCACGAAAGCGUGGGUAGCGAACAGG